GAAGCGCUCCUUGCUGCAGCAACGCUCCUCGGGUGGCGAGAGCUCCAACACCUCCUGAAGACAAGGCAGACAUGGAGGAUUGCAGAGUGCUUGCUGGAGCGGAGCAGGAAAAGGGCUGAGGAAUACCUGGACCAGAGCGUGCCGUACCUGGAGGAUGCUCAGGCCCCCUUGCGAGAGGCAGCCAUCAGGUUCAUCGGACUGGCCGCGCGGCCCCUAAGGGGCAGGAACGAGCUGAAGCUGGAGCAGAUCUGCCGAGCCCUUGAGACGCUGCCGGAGGAAAGCGAUCCCGUCAUCUGUUCCCUGGCAAUUCAGACCGUGCUCAUCCUGAGAAGGCCACCGGUGCGGCGCACGUUGGGAUGGCGCCUGCGAGCGCUCUGCUGCUGAUGCUGGACAGCUGGGAGCGGCAGCCCUUUCCUUAGGGAAAGGGGUGUCAUCCUUAAACCUGGACUAAAGAGCUUCAGAAACAAAAGAGCUAAAAGAGCGGCUCCUGAGCUGCCGCGUUCCCAGCGCUCCAUCUUCUGGAGACAGCAGGGGCAGAGGGACCCUUGCUCUGAAUAGCACCAGGCAGCAGAGAGGCAUCCAGCCAGCACAGACUCCAAACCUGACACCAUGUUAUCCAGCAAUAAAGA